rnacentral:rRNA from 1 species
AACGAACGCUGGCGGCAGGCCUAACACAUGCAAGUCGAACGCACCUUCGGGUGAGUGGCGCACGGGUGAGUAACGCGUGGGAAUAUACCUAGCAGUGGGGAAUAACGUCGGGAAACUGACGCUAAUACCGCAUACGCCCUUCGGGGGAAAGAUUUAUCGCUGUUAGAUUAGCCCGCGUCGGAUUAGGUAGUUGGUGGGGUAAUGGCCUACCAAGCCUGCGAUCCGUAGCUGGUCUGAGAGGAUGAUCAGCCACACUGGGACUGAGACACGGCCCAGACUCCUACGGGAGGCAGCAGUGGGGAAUAUUGGACAAUGGGCGCAAGCCUGAUCCAGCAAUGCCGCGUGAGUGAUGAAGGCCUUCGGGUCGUAAAGCUCUUUUACCAGGGAUGAUAAUGACAGUACCUGGAGAAUAAGCUCCGGCUAACUCCGUGCCAGCAGCCGCCGUAAUAC